AUUGAACGCUGGCGGCAGGCCUAACACAUGCAAGUCGGGCGGGCGGAGGACGGGUGAGUAAGGUAUGGGGAUCUGCCUGAUGGAGGGGGAUAAGUAGUGGAAACGGUAGCUAAUACUGCAUACCAUCAGAUGAGCCCAUAUGGGAUUAGCUUGUUGGUGAGGUAACGGCUCACCUAGGCGACGAUCCCUAGCUGGUCUGCGAGGGUGAUCGGCCACACUGGGACGUGGACACGGCCCAGACUCCUACGGGAGGCAGCAGUGGGGAAUAUUCGACAAGGGGCGAAAGCCUGAUGCAGCCAUGCCGCGUGUAUGAAGAAGGCCUUCGGGUUGUAAAGUACUUUCGUUAGGGAGGCGUUACCGACAGAGAAAGCACCGGCUAACUCCGUGCCAGCCGCCGCGGUAAUAC
rnacentral:rRNA from 1 species